UACAGAGGGUGCGAGCGUUGUCCGGAAUCACUGGGCGUAAAGGGCGCGUAGGUGGCGCUCCAAGUCGAUGGUGAAAGCUCGAUGCUCAACAUCGAGUCGGCCACCGAUACUGGAGGGCUCGAGCACUGUAGGGGCAGAUGGAAUUCCGGGUGUAGCGGUGGAAUGCGUAGAGAUCCGGAAGAACACCGGUGGCGAAGGCGGUCUGCUGGGCAGUUGCUGACACUGAGGCGCGACAGCGUGGGGAGCAAACAGG
rnacentral:rRNA from 1 species